rnacentral:rRNA from 1 species
UACGUAGGUGGCAAGCGUUAUCCGGAUUUACUGGGUUUAAAGGGUGCGUAGGCGGGCAGGUAAGUCAGGGGUGAAAUCUUCGAGCUUAACUCGGAAACUGCCUUUGAUACUAUCUGUCUUGAAUAUUGUGGAGGUAAGCGGAAUAUGUCAUGUAGCGGUGAAAUGCUUAGAUAUGACAUAGAACACCUAUUGCGAAGGCAGCUUACUACGCAUAUAUUGACGCUGAGGCACGAAAGCGUGGGGAUCAAACAGG